CAAGGCGACGAUCCCUAGCUGGUUUGAGAGGAUGAUCAGCCACACUGGAACUGAGACACGGUCCAAACUCCUACGGGAGGCAGCAGUGGGGAAUAUUGCACAAUGGGCGCAAGCCUGAUGCAGCCAUGCCGCGUGUGUGAAGAAGGCCUUCGGGUUGUAAAGCACUUUCAGUCAGGAGGAAAGGUUAGUCGUUAAUAGCGGCUAGCUGUGACGUUACUGACAGAAGAAGCACCGGCUAACUCCGUGCCAGCAGCCGCGGUAAUACGGAGGGUGCGAGCGUUAAUCGGAAUUACUGGGCGUAAAGCGUACGCAGGCGGUUUGUUAAGCGAGAUGUGAAAGCCCCGGGCUCAACCUGGGAACUGCAUUUCGAACUGGCAGACUAGAGUGUGAUAGAGGGUGGUAGAAUUUCAGGUGUAGCGGUGAAAUGCGUAGAGAUCUGAAGGAAUACCGAUGGCGAAGGCAGCCACCUGGGUCAACACUGACGCUCAUGUACGAAAGCGUGGGGAGCAAACGGGAUUAGAUACCCCGGUAGUCCACGCCGUAAACGAUGUCUACUAGAAGCUGGAGUCUUCGGACGACUUUUUCAAAGCUAACGCAUUAAGUAGACCGCCUGGGGAGUACGGCCGCAAGGUUAAAACUCAAAUGAAUUGACGGGGGCCCGCACAAGCGGUGGAGCAUGUGGUUUAAUUCGAUGCAACGCGAAGAACCUUACCUACACUUGACAUACAGAGAACUUACUAGAGAUAGUUUGGUGCCUUCGGGAGCUCUGA
rnacentral:rRNA from 1 species